UGUAGCAGCUGUGGCCGUCUAACCCCAUGUCUGCAAUGGCUUUCUGUCACGGGAAUGUCUCUUGUCAAAGGGAAACACCGCAGUAAGGCGUGAUCACCCGGGAUAAGUGAAUUAGCUACCGUUUUGCUCAGAGGGGAAGCUCCAGGCUUUGCAGCAUGACAGGAGCACAUGUGUGUCACCUGUGCCUUUGUGGUGAGUGUGGCAGCCACCCGUUUCAGCGCCCUGUCAGAAAAGGAAAGAUAGAUUUUUCACAGCGUGAAGCAUUCCAGAUCUUAACAGCUGCCUUGUGAUACACUGAGUACCAUGAAACAUGGGCUUUAAUGACAGCACUGUCUGAAAGGUUUCCUGCAUCCCAGCUGCCCCAUACCUUGGAGGACAGGCUUGGCCAGCAGUCACCCUUCAGGAUUUUUAAGGCAUGUACUGGCCUGGUAGACAAGACAAGAGCAUUGGAUAGUGUCUGCCUGGACUUCAGCAAGACUUUCAGUGCUGUCUCCCAUAAGAUCCUCAUAGAAAAGCUUUUCAAGU